CAUAAUCCAUUCUUUUUCUUGAAGGGAGGGGGGAAAAAACAUCCUCGUCGUGUGGCUUUCCGGUGAGGUUUGGUUCCUCCUGGUUCGUUAUCUCCCCACCGCCUCCCACCGCCGUCCCCGACCUCCAUUUCCACCGCCGUCCCCGACCUCCAUUUCCACCGCCAUCGCCAGGUGAGUUCACGGGGGGCGAAGGCCCGCACCGCAAUCUCCCAAUCCAGAAUUCAACCCGCCCUCUAAAAUCUCCAGCUUUUGACUGCUUCCGCUGCCACAGGGGAACGGCGGGCGGGCGGGC
rnacentral:lncRNA from 1 species